rnacentral:rRNA from 1 species
GGGAAACAGAUGCUAAUACCCGGGAUAACAACAGAUGAUGCCUAUCAACUGUUUUAAAAGAUGGUUCUGCUAUCACUCUUGGGAUGGGACCUGCGGUGCAUUAGCUAGUUGGUAGGGUAACGGCCUACCAAGGCGAUGAUGCAUAGCCGAGUUGAGAGACUGAUCGGCCACAUUGGGACUGAGACACGGCCCAAACUCCUACGGGAGGCAGCAGUAGGGAAUCUUCCACAAUGGACGCAAGUCUGAUGGAGCAACGCCGCGUGAGUGAAGAAGGGUUUCGGCUCGUAAAGCUCUGUUGUUGGUGAAGAAGGACAGAGGUAGUAACUAACCUUUGUUUGACGGUAAUCAAUUAGAAAGUCACGGCUAACUACGUGCCAGCAGCCGCGGUAAU